rnacentral:sRNA from 1 species
GCCAGGCGCGGUGGCUCAUGCCUGUAAUCCCAGCACUUUGGGAGGCUGAGGCAGGUGGAUCACCUGAGGUCAGGAGUUCAAGACCAGCCUGACCAACAUGGUGAAACCCUGUCUCUA